AGCCGAAACGCCCUUCCCGGGCGUCUGCCGGAGACCGCCUCUCGGCACUGAUGAUGGCAGGCAAAA
rnacentral:hammerhead_ribozyme from 1 species